rnacentral:misc_RNA from 1 species
AAGUCGUAACAAGGUUGCCGUAGGUGAACCUGCGGCAGGAUCAUUACCUGUUGGGGAUGGCUGUAAGGCCUGAUCCUAAAGAUAUACACCCUUUGUUUUUUAUACUUUUGUUUCCUCGGCGGCUCCUGCCGCCAAUGGGGACUUUCUACCCUUUUUUUAGCCGUUCUGUCUGAUAUACCCACAAUAAUCAAAACUUUCAACAACGGAUCUCUUGGUUCUG